rnacentral:tRNA from 1 species
ACUUAGAUAGCUUAAAUUUUAAAGCUUAACUCUGAAGAAGUUACUAUAGGGUCAUCCUUCUAAGUA